AUUGAACGCUGGCGGAAUGCUUUACACAUGUAAGUCGAACGGCAGCACGGACUUCGGUCUGGUGGCGAGUGGCGAACGGGUGAGUAACAUAUCGGAACGUAUCCAAUAAUGGGGGAUAACGAGUCGAAAGAUUCGCUAAUACCGCAUACGCCCUACGGGGGAAAGCUGGGGACCUUCGGGCCUGGCGUUAAUGGAGCGGCCGAUAUCUGAUUAGCUAGUUGGUGAGGUAAAGGCUCACCAAGGCGACGAUCAGUAGCUGGUCUGAGAGGACGACCAGCCACACUGGAACUGAGACACGGUCCAGACUCCUACGGGAGGCAGCAGUGGGGAAUUUUGGACAAUGGGCGCAAGCCUGAUCCGGCCAUUCCGCGUGAGUGAAGAAGGCCUUCGGGUUGUAAAGCUCUUUCGCAAGGGAAGAAAACUUAGCCACUAACAUUGGUUGAGGUUGACGGUACCUUGAUAAGAAGCACCGGCUAACUACGUGCCAGCAGCCGCCGUAA
rnacentral:rRNA from 1 species